GGCGGAGCAAGCUAUUCUCGAAGAUUAAGCCAUGUAUGUGCCAAGUUCAAACGUAAUUCGUAAGACUGCGGACGGCUCAGUAAAUCAGUGAUAAUCUAUUUGAUUUUCUCUCCCAUUGGAUAACCGUGGGAAAUCUAGAGCUAAUACGUGCGGUACAUUGGAUUCACUGUAAAAAGUAGUUCAAAGCAUUUAUUAGACUAAACCAACUAUUGUGCUUCGGCAUAGUAAGGGGAAUCUGGAUAACUUUGCUGAUCGUAUGGCCUAGUGCCGGCGACGUUUCAAUUGAGUUUCUGCCCUAUCAAUUUGUUGGUAAGGUAUUGGCUUACCAAGGUUGCAACGGGUAACGGGGAAUCAGGGUUCGAUUCCGGAGAGGGAGCCUGAGAAACGGCUACCACAUCCAAGGAAGGCAACAGGCGCGCAAAUUACCCAAUCUAGACAGUAGGAGGUGGUGAAGAGAAUUACUAAAUGGUGGUCUUAUUGAUCAUUUGUUUGGAAUGAACGUAACUUAAGAAAUUCGUUGAGAAACAACUGGAGGGCAAGUCCUGGUGCCAGCAGCCGCGGUAAUUCCAGCUCCAGUAGUUUGCUUUAAAGUUGUUGCGUUUAAAACGCUCGUAGUUGGAUCACGCAGCGAUAUUUAGUAAUCUUUUGUUUGAUGCCGUUACUUGAAUCCGUCACGUACGGCCAUUUAUCGGUGUCAGCAUUAGAUGCCAUGCUGAAUAUUGCUAGUUGCACGUGAGAUAGAUUGUUGGCCUUUAAUGAGCCGGUAUUCUUGUCUUGCGGGGUGUGCCUUGAAUAAAACAG
rnacentral:rRNA from 1 species